GCCUGGGUAGCUCAGUGGGUUGAGUGUCCGACUUCAGCUCAGGUCAUGAUCUCGCAGUACGCGAGUUCGAGCCCCGCGUCAGGCU
rnacentral:tRNA from 1 species